rnacentral:rRNA from 1 species
GGAGUGGAGCCUGCGGCUUAAUUUGACUCAACACGGGGAACCUCACCCGGCCCGGACACCGCGAGGAUUGACAGAUUGAGAGCUCUUUCUCGAUUCGGUGGGUGGUGGUGCAUGGCCGUUCUUAGUUGGUGGAGCGAUUUGUCUGGUUAAUUCCGAUAACGAACGAGACUCUAGCCGGUUAAGUAGCCCGGAGCGGUUUUUGAUCUUUGCCGUCCGUCCUUUGUUUUUUUCCCUUUUUCCCGUCCUCGGCCGACCGGUUCGGUGGGUACGAGGGAAGGCGGGGUGGCGGAGGGGUCAUCCGCAGUGUGCCGUUCGCGGUACCUGCGGGGAAGCCUUUUCGUCGCUCUUCAACCUUCUCGCCGUCUUUGCCGUUUCCCGAGCGGUCGAGACGGAAGGGGAGCUUAGGCGGAAGCAUAACCGAAGGCCGCCGGCUUUUACAGGAAGCUUCUUAGAGGGACGAGCGGCGUUCAGCCGCCCGAGAUUGAGCGAUAACAGGUCUGUGAUGCCCUUAGAUGUCCGGGGCCGCACGCGCGCUACACUGAAGGGCUCAGCGUGCUCGUUUCUCCCGAGCCGACAGGCUCGGGGAACCCGUUGAAACCCUUUCGUGCUAGGGACAGGGACUUGCAAUUGUGUCCCUCCAACGAGGAAUUCCCAGUAAGCGCGAGUCAUCAGCUCGCGUUGAUUACGUCCCUGCCCUUUGUACACACCGCCCGUCGCUACUACCGAUUGAACGAUUUAGUGAGGUCUUCGGACCGGUGGCCGUUCCGAGCCGUCGCUACCUUUUCGGGGUCGGCGGUUUUUUCUUUCGGGGUCGGCCGGCCGGGAAGAUGCCC